rnacentral:lncRNA from 1 species
GAAAACAUCAAAGGUUCCCAAGGACUUUCUACUGCAGAUACUUGGUGAAGACCGAGUUACCAAUUUUGUAAUACGAGAAAUUGUUACCUCAACUCUUGCUGAUUAUGUGAAGAAGGAGAAUUUGGCAGUAAAGGAUAACAAGAUUAGCACCACACAAACUGCGGAUGAACUCAAGUCAUCAUUUGUUCCGGGAACAGAAUUCGGAUUCAAUGCCACCUUAGAGCUUGAAAAAUCAAAAACUGAAGCCACCACAUAAACCCGCAGAAGAAGAUGAGAAACUUUUUCUCACUGUUUAAACUCUUAGAAUGACUUGUUAGAAUAGAAUCAGCAAUUCCUGAGGCCAAUAGAUUGAAGGCUCCUAAGAUCUAUUACUGUUUGGCUUACUACUGGUUAGAAUUGAAAUUGAAUUAUGAUUUCAGUUGGCAUUUCAGUUCUCUAUUCAAAUUGAAUUAUGAUUUCAGUUGGUAUUUCUUGGAGCAAUAUCAUCUGAAGAAACUUUUGUUGCCAGAUAUUUUCAUUUUUUUGCUUACAUUGAAGAUAUAUCUUAUCAUCUGCUUUUUUGGCAUCAAGAUAGUUGAUUGAAGUGGUACAAAGGAAGGGUAUUUGAAAUGCUUAAAGUGAUCCUAUUUAGUGAUAAUAGUAUUGACAACAGGUAAUUAACAAGGGUUCAUGUGGAUCUUUUGCUUCACAGUUUGCCACAAUCUAAGAGAGGUCGAGGAAGAUACAAUUUUUUACAUGUAGACAUGAAAACUAAGACCAGAAGUAAAAUUCCAAUAGUCAUUCCAGAUACAAAUUUUGUAAUUGGCAGGCAAUAAUUACAAAAACAUAGAGAAGCGUUGAGGGUUAAGGUAACAAUUUACUUUCAAUGCCAAAUUGACUUCUGUAUUGCACGUUUUAUUUACUUUCAAUAGCUUUACAUAUUUUAUUAUGAUAAACUUGAAACUAGUGGUAUGCGAGAACAUGUGUCGCAAGCUCGUGAUAGACUGUUAUGAACCAGCCUCGGCCCAACAUCAUUACCUACUUGGGUGUCGCACAACUAGUUAUUGGGGCGAGAAGAAGCAACAGAAAUGGAAGGCCUUCACAAAGGUUGAUUGGGCCAGGCAGGUUCAUAACAUAGACACUAUGCAAAGGCUUUUUAGAGCAUGGAAACUCGAUUCCAUGCUGACCACUCCUGCUAUGCUACUGAUGAAGAGAGACCGCCCAUAGGCCGGAUGAUGUUACACAUGAUGGAUUGGGUGUUUCUGGUAGGACUUUUUAGAAGUCCAGCAUUCAAGGUAAAUGCAUGAUAUAUUACUAUUUAAACGUUGGUCCUUAAUGUAUUUAUCUGCAGGUUACGAGUGAGAGGAACUAACUAAACCGGUGAAAACAAAUAACUAAGCACUCAUGUAGGCUGUAGCUCAAAGUCAUUUGCAGAAGUGAAGGAAUCCGAUGGUACAAAUCAUUUACCAAAAUGAUAAAGCUCAAAAGAACCAUUCAAAAUGACAGAACAUGAACGAAGUGAAUCAUGAAAAACUUUAGCAUACAAGAACAUGAAAGAGCAUUAGCUUUAGCAUAAGAAGAAUAGUCAUAUAAGGAGAGUGAUUUUUCAGUCGAAAUCACAACAGCACUAGUUUGUUCACAAAUUCAAUAUUAUAAAAUAAUUACAGAGCAUGCUAAUCAACCAUUGAUUAGAUGUAAAAGUUUAUGCAGAUUACAUAUUUCAUGCAUCAAUGUAUAAUGUAUUAGCAAAAACAUAAACAUAUGUAAGAAUAUGAUCACCAUUUAUACUUCAUUAUCCCAGAAAUUACAGAAUUGGCAACGAAAAAUGACCAAAUCUGCUACAUUGAACCACCAUCCCUCUCUUCUUACGAAAGCCGAACCUAGGGCUCAACACAACACAAACACAACUCAAUUAUUCCUCAUUUCUACGAAUCAUCUCUUUACAUUACACUCAUUUUAGUCAUAAUUUAAUCAUCUUUAACCUAGUCGUCCAUCUACCACAAUCCUUCUCGUUAAUCCAGCCCGGGAUCCACUAUACUUGCGAAACGCAUGUAAACAGAGUUCAUGAAAAAGCGAGAAAAGAGUAACUAGAGAGGACGACGAACCUUCUACAACAACGCUUUCGAAGGCGGCGCCGGAGAAGAGAAUUUACUGAGAGUAGCGGAGAAGUGUCAGCGGGAAAAGAAGAAUCUGGAGGGUAGGGAGGGAGAUGGUUUGCCAAAAUGGAGUUCUGAAAUUUGAAGGUUCAAAUGGUCUUGGACGGUAUUUAUUAGUUUCCUGAGGGUAUAUUGGUCAUAAAAACUAUGGGCUUCCUUUGUUGAUCUUUGUGAAAACGGGGCACGCGACUUGAAUGACCCGUCUGGCCAUAGAUAUAGCAAGUCUAGUUUUUUGGAUGAGGGAAAUUGACAAAAAAUGUUGUCAAUUUUUGGUAAAAGAUUCAAAAUCCCAAAAACUAAAAAAAAAAGAAGAAGAAGGUAAUUUUGGGGCUAAAAUCUAAUCUAUGAAUUCUUUUAAAAUUUAAAACAUAUUUCAAAUGUUUUUUUAUAUAAAAAAAACCCAUUCAUUAUUACUCCAACUUCAACUAUAAUUAUCUCAAUUUUUUACAUUUUAAAAAAUUAAUUUGUUUUGAUAUAAUAAUUUUGUUCAUUCUAUUUAUAGUUUCGUAAAGAAUGUGUCAAGUCAGACAAAUAAAAAUGAAAUAAGUGAGUACUAAAAUGUCAACAGAUAAAAAAUGAAGAACAUAUUUGGAGGUGGGGUUGCUUAUUGAGCGAAUAAUUUCACUUUAUAAUUUGACCUAUUAGUUAGUGAUUUUUAAAUGUACUAAUCCGCUAGUAAACUGAUAAGAUAUCGAUUGAUUCGCUAAUGAAUUAACAUUUAUUUAAAAAUUAUUGACCAACAUAUCGAUUAACCUUUAUGAUACCUUCUUUUUCAAUGAACGCAUCUUACACUAUACUUGCAUGAAGCCAUGAACAUUGCUAAUCUGAAAUUAUUGAAUUCAUACCAUCAAAGAGAACAUUGCUUGCAUUUAGAUCUCGAUGAAGGACCUUUAAACGUGAAUCAAGUGAAGAUUAAAAAAAAGGUCCUCAAUCAAUGCCUUAGAUCAUGUAGAAACAUUUAUAGCAUAAUUUUAAAUGGGGAUUUAGCCUUUAGCAUUCAUAAUAAUAAUAUAAUAUGUACUUUAUAUAUUUAGGGGUAAAAGUGUAAGUAUGACAAUUCUUAAUGGAUUAAUGAUUUAUUCGAUAAAAAAAAUUUGAGUGAUCUACUCUCAAUUCAAUAAAUCAUUAAUUAUAAAAUUUCAAUUCAUUACUUAAUUAUUUGUUUGAUAAUUCAAUGCCAAUAAACUAAUAAGUCAAUUUUGUGAUUUUAUUGUUUAGUACGCGAUUUUGAACACCCUUUAAGGGGGCAGAAUUAAACACCACUCUAAUUUAGGGGUAUUCGUGUGAAUGACCCGCGUCCGCGCUACUGCCGUCCCGUGCAAAAUCAAAUGCCCUACAUAAUCUUAUCUUUGAAUUUCUCGCGUCUGAUCUUCUUCUCAGUUCUCACACUCGCAAAUUACUGUAGAAGUUAAAAAGGCUAUCAUAGUUUCCGAGGGAACUAUGGCAAUGACCAUGACCACUUCAGUGGCGUCGCCGUCCCGCCGGCUGCUUAUCGACUCUCGCUAUAGUACCGCCAUCACUAUCCCCAAGAAUGUGGCAAUUUACCCAGCAACAGCAGUUACAAAUAAGGGGCUAUUGAAGCACUGUAUAUCCUCGCAAGGAUGCGUAAGAUCUCUGGUGAAACCAGUAUCGGCUGCUAGUUCAGGGCUAGAUGCAGAUUUGGCUGAUGAAUGCCUUAAAAAUGCAAAGAUAGUUGUUGAAUCCAAAGAAGCUGAGAAGAUACAAGUCAGAGUAGAUGUGAACGAGGAGUACACAGAAAUGGUUUUCGACAGCGUUUUGACAAAAUUAGCAAAAUCAGAGCAACCAAUUCCAGGCUUCCGCAGGGAAAAAGGAGGGAAAACAUCCCAGGUUCCUAGGGAAUUUCUACCGCAGAUACUUGGUGAAGAGCGAGUUACCAAUUCUGUAAUACGAGAAAUUAUCAACUCAACUCUUGCUGAUUAUGUGAAGAAGGAGAAUUUGGCGGUGAAGGAUAACAAGAUUAGCAUCACACAAACUGCGGAUGAACUCAUGUCAUCCUUUGCUCCGGGAACUGAAUUCGGGUUCAACGC